AAAGGAAAAAAGAUACCACACGAGAGGGGUUAACAGAUGACCUGAUGGAAAUGAACGCUUCCGAACCAGUGUCGGACGAUGAGGAAGACACAGAAGCAGCAGAGCCAGAAAACAAAUUGAAAUCAGAUAAUCUGGCGGAAGGGGUCCCAUCAUUCAAAACUGCUUCUGACUUCUUUAACAACAUGGACCCUUCUACGGUACAGGCACUGAAACUAAAGCAAAUGGUGGAAGAAGGAUUGGUAAAGUAUGGGAAUGUUUUUGGAAAAAUGAGAAAGCAAAAGAGUCAGACAGAAACCAUGAUGUAUUUCCAUAGAGUUUCACCUACUGUGCCCGCCUCACCUGCCUCUCCUUCCUCCUCCUCCACGUCCGCUGCCCCUGAGAAGGCGCCACCACCCCCGCUUCCUCCUCCUCUGCAGCCUAGGCAACGUGAAGACAACAAGGAUGAGGAUCCCACUUCCACUUAAUAAACAGUAAACAAUCAUCAUGCCACACAGUUAAUACAUGUUGGCUGCGUACAUGUGUGUCUUUGUGCAAACAUCUAACAACUGUAGGCAGGAACUGUAGCAGAUGCUUUUGCGUCAUCAGUGUCACUUAAGUAUUUGUCAUGGAGAACGUCCUGUGCAAGACCUACAUGGAAGCAGAUAGCCUAUCCUCAGAUAAGCAUAAGUUAGAAUCCUGCCAUCCAGAGAUAGGAAUUCAGUCCUUCUUAUUACAGAAGAAAAAGAAGAGGAAAUAAAGUAGCAAAAAGGAGCUGUUCUUUUAGGUCGAUAUUUGUAAAAAACCUCUACGUGCUCCGAUUGUUCAUUCUGACGAUGUUCCUACCUUCCUUGACUUUGGCUGCU